rnacentral:rRNA from 1 species
AUGCAACGCGAACAACCUUACCUACCCUGACAUGUCCGGAACCCUGCUGAAAGGCGGGGGUGCCCGAAAGGGAAUCGGAACACAGGUGCUGCAUGGCUGUCGUCAGCUCGUGUCGUGAGAUGUUGGGUUAAGUCCCGCAACGAGCGCAACCCUUGUCCUUAGUUGCUACGCAAGGGCACUCUAAGGAGACUGCCGGUGACAAACCGGAGGAAGGUGGGGAUGACGUCAAGUCCUCAUGGCCCUUAUGGGUAGGGCUUCACACGUCAUACAAUGGUCGGUACAGAGGGUAGCCAACCCGCGAGGGGGAGCCAAUCCCAGAAAGCCGAUCGUAGUCCGGAUCGCAGUCUGCAACUCGACUGCGUGAAGUCGGAAUCGCUAGUAAUCGCGGAUCAGCAUGUCGCGGUGAAUACGUUCCCGGGUCUU